rnacentral:rRNA from 1 species
UACGUAGGUGGCAAGCGUUGUCCGGAUUUACUGGGCGUAAAGAGCGCGCAGGCGGUCGGAUAAGUCGAAUGUGAAAGCCCCCGGCUCAACUGGGGAGGGUCAUUCGAUACUGUUCGACUCGAAGGCAGGAGAGGGAAGUGGAAUUCCCGGUGUAGUGGUGAAAUGCGCAGAUAUCAGGAGGAACACCGGUGGCGAAGGCGGAUCUCUGGGCCAUUACUGACGCUGAGGAGCGAAAGCGUGGGGAGCGAACAGG